CGGGUUAUAACUCAGAGGUAGAGAGCUAUCAUUACAAGAUAGUAGUCCCACGUUCGAAUCGUGGUGGCCCGA
rnacentral:tRNA from 1 species